rnacentral:rRNA from 1 species
AACGAACGCUGGCGACAUGCUUAACACAUGCAAGUCGAACGGACUUAUGGGGCUUGCUCCAUAAGUUAGUGGCAGACGGGUGAGUAACGCGUGGGAAUGUACCUUUUGGUUUGGAAUAACUUCGGGAAACUGAAGCUAAUACCGGAUAAGCCCGUGAGGGGAAAGAUUUAUCGCCGAAAGAGCAGCCCGCGUUAGAUUAGGUAGUUGGUGGGGUAAUGGCCUACCAAGCCUACGAUCUAUAGCUGGUCUGAGAGGAUGAUCAGCCACACUGGGACUGAGACACGGCCCAGACUCCUACGGGAGGCAGCAGUGGGGAAUAUUGGACAAUGGGGGAAACCCUGAUCCAGCAAUGCCGCGUGUGUGAUGAAGGCCUCGGUUGUAAGCACUUUGUUCAGGGACGAUGAUGACGGUACCUGACGAAUAAGCUCCGGCUAACUUCGUGCCAGCAGCCGCGGUAAU